ensembl:lncRNA
GGGUAGGGGUGAGGGGUAGGCCAGCAAAUACGGCCCAGCUCUGGGUCCAAGCUCCCUCCCCAUCACUGUGACCUGCUAGACUAAGUUCAGGGGUAACCUUCUGCAGGAAAUCACCCCCAGAGCUCCUCCCCAAUCUGGGCUUCCCAGGUGGCUCAGCGUGAAGAAUCUGCCUACCAAUGCAGGAGACAGGUUCAGUCUCUGGGUGGGGAAGAUUGGCAACCCACUCCAGUAUUCUUGCCUGAAAAAUCCCAUAGACAGAGGAGCCUGGUGGGCCACAGUCCAUGGGGUCUCAAAGAGUCAGACAUGACUGAGCAGAGAUUGAGCCUGGGCUCCUUGUGCUGGGAGCCUAGAGUCUUAGCCACUGGACCACCAGGGAAGUCUUGCAUUGUUCUAUUUUUUAAAACACUCAUGGAGAUUCUCAUCCCAUCCCUACAAGGUCCUUGUGGGGUGAGGGCACAAGCUUCGUUUCACAGAUGACAAAACCGAGGUUCAGAGCAGUUAGGGGACUCCUGUAGGUUACACAGCCAGGAGAGGCAGGGCUGAGCUUCGAAUCCCAGGCACAGCACUCUGCCUAGAAUGCUCACCUCCCAAAUGGCCACGUGGCUGUCUUCCUCAUCUCCUUUGGUCUUUGCUCAAAUCACAUCCUCCGUGACAGGAGAAGGCUGGCAUUUGCUUCAGAGUGACAUGGAAGGCGGGAGAGAGUAGACGGAGGUGCAGAUGAAACAAGAUUGGCAGUUGUGGAAGCUGAAUGAAGGGCAGAGCAUUCAUCACCGUCUCUAUGGAUUUUGCUUAUUUAUUUAUUUUUUGGAUUCAUGUUGUUCUUGCGCACUAGCCUCAUGAAGCCAGAGGUCCUGGGGUCUGUUGGUGCAGGCUGGUGCCCUGGCAUGCAGAGCAGCCCUUGGCACUUAGAGGCGCUCAGUCCAUAUUAGGAAAAGCCCAGAUGACCUGGGUUUGCAGCUGAAGGCUCUUGACCAAGCCACACUGAAGCAGAGAAACGGCAGACUAUUGGUGUGGGUUUCUGGCCGGUGGGGUCCUUCAGCACCUGGAGCCACAGCCGGAGGGUCCUUCCCAGUGCCCCCCAGCCCGGGCUAAGCCCCUAAGUGUCCCAUUAUGCACCAUUCACUUCUCACUUUGUCGAGCCCGUCCGCAGCCGCUGCGUCCUUUUGUCAGAGGGGCCUGGGAGUGCAAGGGGCUAUUACCACGAGGCCUCAUUAUUCCCAGCCAGAGCAAUAAUGAGGAGUCCCUUCCCCAGGCUAGCACAAUCUGUAGGGUCCCUCCCAUUUAAUAACUAUAAUAACAGCCACCAUUUAUGAGCCCCUGCUUCAUGCCCCGCUGCGCACCAAGCACUUUACAUACAUUAUCUCAUUUAAUUCCUCCAACAGCUCUGGCAAUCAGCUACUAUUUGUAUCCCCAUUUUUCAGAUAAGAACGCCAAGACCGGUGCCCAGAGCCCCGUUAUCCUUAGCUCAGCCAUACAGGGGGAGGAAGGGCAGGGAUACAUCCAUGUCCCAGGUGGAACAUGGAGGCGCAGAGAGGGAAGGUGGCCUGGGAGAGAGCACACGGCAGAGUAUUGGGGACCACAGCUAGGACCGGGCAGCAAGAGUCCCUCGGGCACAGAGGAGGGCGAGCAGCAGUCCCCAGAGCGCUCCAGGCCAGAGCAGCCAGGCCUUCACUGUGUUCACAGGGGCAGCUGCUGGCUCCGGGACUUGGCCUGUGCAGAGCUAGUGAGACUCCAGGGGCUCUGCCCAUGAGGCCCAUCCGGCAGUGAGGAGCACUUUCGCUCUCUGGGCCAACACUGAAAUGCUCUUAGAGGGCCAGGGGGUGUGUAGGGCAGAGUGACCAGGCUCUGGGAGGAGGCAGGAACCUGGUGGGAGGAAGGGGAGGAUGAGAAAAGGAAC